UGGGCGUCGCCAAGGCAAUAGGAAAACCCCGGAGCUUGCGGAGACCCAACGGUUUGAGAUUCUAGAAAGUGUUUGGCGUCAUUGGGAAACACCUGCCGAGGGAGAGAGGCGUUGGAGGAAUCUUGGAAUACAUGAGGUGAUAUUCCUUUUAUUCACGGGAAGUUUUCGGAUUAAACCCUGGGGAUGAAGCCAGGCAGGCAUCGCAGAAGAAAGCUCCUUUAUAACAAGCACUGGUGAUUGUAACUCAUAGAUCGUGAAUAAAAAGAAAGCUGCUCAGGUGCCCGAUUUAUAGGCAAUAGCUCUCUCUUACUUUCUCUUACUGCUUUAAAGGCUCUCCUUUGGGUAUUCCCUGAAAGAUUUUAGCUGGGGAAGAAAUGGUGAAUGGAAUUUCCUAAAAGCUUCUAGAACAGAGAAUGGUAGGACGGCGUAGAAUGGGAGAGAAUUGUAAAUUUGGAGGCCAAACAAGAGAAAACUAUGAAAAUGCUGGCUUGUCAGGCCCUGGAAGCUUCCAAGCAGGCUUGAAUUUCCACACAAGGUUUGAAGCGUGUGUGUCAGAACUUUUGUCUGGGUGGGAAAGAUAAGGAAUGGUAUUUUUGUCCAACCACAUGGGAAGUUCCCCUUCUUGAUUUUUAGAAGCUUUCCUGUCUAUUAUUUAGGAUCCUUUGGAUUUCUCCUGUUUCAUUCUCAACAAGUCCAGUAGGUUUGUGACCAGCCAGCAAGCAGGUCCUCAAAGUAAUUAUGCAUGUUUUUGAAAAGAUAAUCUUACCACGUUAUUUUAUUUCAUUUUAUUUUUUACUGUGACACAUUAUUAUUUGAUCCCUCCGUGGUUCUCAAAGAACAGACCUUUAUUCUGGGAGAACAGGAAGCCAAGGUCCGACAGCUUCUCGUAGGUGAUAACCCCCUACCUAGUGAUAGUUGGAUUUAAAUCUGCCCAAGAUUAACUAGAAUUCAGGUCAACUAGAGGAGGCAGCUUCCAAAUCCUAGACACUUGUCCAUUUGCUGUUUUCCCUUCCUUCAUACCACAUGAGGAUGUAUUAAGGAAACAGCUUUUCAGAUGCUGCAGUGUAAUAUGUCAAAGCUGAUUAUUCCACGUGCCAGCUAUGUAUACUGUGGAGGAUAAAGACAGUCAUUCAGUGGGCUGGGGUGUGUAGAGCGCUUUCCUAGCUUGUGGGAGGCACUGGGUUCAAUUCUCAGCACCACAUAUAAAUAAAUGAAUAAAAUAAAGAUCCAUCAACAUCUUAAAAUAAUUUUUUUUAAAAAACACAAUUAUUUAGAGGUGGGAGUGGUGACACAUGCCUGUAAUCCCAGCAGCUGGGGAGGUUGAAGCAGGAGGAUUGUAAAUUCCAGGCCAGUCUCAGCAAUUUAGUGAGGCUCUAAGCAACUUAGUGAGACCCUAUCUCCAAAUAAAAAUAAAAAGGUCUGAGGAUGUAGCUCAGUGGUUAAGCACCCUUGAGUUCAAUCCCUGGCACCAAAAAAAAAAAAAAAAAAAAGCCAUUCUUAAGUGGCAAAGUCUUAUGACAUUUGACACUUAGGGAUACUGACUCUGGACUUAUGAACACUUGCUCAUUGGAUUUAAUUUUGCUGCUGUUAUGGAUACCCAUGGAAUACUAGUUUGUCACAUAUAGCCUUAACAAUAUCAAACAUGCCCUUUAGAAUCAUUCAUAAGUUACUUUGGUGUAAGAUGGAAGCAAUUACCAGUGAUUCUGUUGGGUAGGAAUUAAAAAGCAAAUUUUAGUCAGGAGCAAGCGUGGUCUUUGUGACAUAGAUACACACAGAGACUAACAGAAUUACAGUAGUCACUGUUUUCCUAUGGCAGGACUGUUUCCAUAGUUACCAGGAUGUGAUAUGGUCAUAUCCUGGACCUUAUGUUUUGAUCUAUUUGAUGAAGCAUGUCUCUUAGGAACUUUUAACUAGUGAGUUGUGACUCACAAAGUUUCUUAAACCCACCUAAGGCAGAGAUGAAUUCCAAAGGAUUUUAGACUAAUAAAGGGCCUUACAAAAUAAACUCUAGCUCCUUGUUGUACAGGUAAAGAAACUGAAAUUUAAUGAUUUGCUCCGAAGUUUUGGUUGGAAGCAGGGCUGGGACAAGGACCCAAGGUUGCUAAUUUGUAAUUUUAGUAAAAUGUCCCCUCCUCCUGCUGCUUCUCUCCCAGUUCCUCUCCCAAAGCAAUGUAUAGUUUUAAAACUCAAGAUUAUUCAUUUUAACUUACGUUAAGACCAAUUAUGAGGAAUUCAAUUCUGAUAUAGUAGACAUUAGGAAAAUAACUUUUCUCACUACUUCAAACGACUUUUGAUGUAAUCCUGCUUUUAUCCACACAAGAAAUGAGAAAGCAAUAAAUUAUUAAAGCCAUGUUGUCUCUUUUUCUUUCUGUUAUGUGUUAAUAUUUAC
rnacentral:lncRNA from 1 species